UACGUAGGGUGCAAGCGUUAAUCGGAAUUACUGGGCGUAAAGCGUGCGCAGGCGGUUCGGAAAGAGAGGUGUGAAAUCCCAGGGCUUAACCUUGGAACUGCACUUUUAACUACCGGGCUAGAGUACGUCAGAGGGGGGUAGAAUUCCACGUGUAGCAGUGAAAUGCGUAGAGAUGUGGAGGAACACCGAUGGCGAAGGCAGCCCCCUGGGUCAAGAUUGACGCUCAUGCACGAAAGCGUGGGGAGCAAACAGG
rnacentral:rRNA from 1 species